rnacentral:miRNA from 1 species
UAAGUUAUAUAUGUCUACUUCUACCUGUGUUAUAAUAAAGGCGUCAUGAUGAUACAGGUGGAGGUAGAAAUAUAUAACUUA